rnacentral:rRNA from 1 species
UACGUAGGUGGCGAGCGUUGUCCGGAUUUACUGGGCGUAAAGAGCGCGCAGGCGGUCGUGCAAGUCGCGUGUGAAAGCCCCCGGCUCAACUGGGGAGGGUCACGCGAUACUGCUCGACUUGAAGGCAGGAGAGGGAAGUGGAAUUCCCGGUGUAGUGGUGAAAUGCGUAGAUAUCAGGAGGAACACCGGUGGCGAAGGCGCCUAUCUGGCCCGAUACUGACGCUGAGGCGCGAAAGCUAGGGGAGCAAACGGG